GAGUAGGGCGGGCCCUGAUAGCAUGGUAGUGUGAUCCAAAACAAACGGAUCCGAUCUAGCAUCUAUCUACCGGUAACCAUGGCUUCAGCUCAGCCGUACAUGUUCCAACCAGAGUCUGAUCCCGAAACAGAACCCGAACCAGCUUCACAACCUAGACUGGAGCAAGAUGUUUCAGAGUGGUGUACUUGUGGAAAUUGCUCGACAAUGUCCACUGAAGUUGAAAACAUCUGUUGCCAAGAAAUACAAAUGGUUGUUAGAAUGCAACAGGUUCCUGUCCCACCUACCUGCAUGGUUUAUCAUCCAGACUUGGAGCCAACCUGUUUGAACCACUACACCCUGCGGAACUUCUACACUAUAUACA